rnacentral:misc_RNA from 1 species
UUUUAUUGACCAUAAGAGCCAAAGAAAUGGCCUAUGAUGGUUUAGGUUGUGAAUUUAAAAUUCCCAUAAUGAAAUAGGGUGAAACAUAGCAGGAGUCGUAAUUGCAAAUGUUGUUAUGCGGCCGCUAUUACAUUGUGUAAUGACUGUUUUCUAUAGCCAUGGUUUGCAAGUAUAUCAUGAACAGAAAUAUGCUUAUUAUUCGAGUUUAUGUGCAUGGUUGUAAUUAUUUAAUUACCAUAGAGAAGGUUCUCAGAGAUAAGCAAUGAAAACAAUGGUUUAUACAGCGGUUUGGAGUUGUUUUAGUGGUUUUGUCAAAAUCUAUAAUUGGAAGAAUAUCAGCUGGCUCAAAUUGCUGACUUGGUGAAUGUGUUUUGAGCCGUAGAUGUUUUUGGUUAAAACUUAUGAAUGACCAAAUGCAAUUCUGAGAUUCUUCGCAUGGUGAAAUAGUUUGGAUAUUUUCUGCCCGCGCAGAGGUUCCUAAUGAUCCUGAGACAUAAGUAUCUUGCAUUUUCUAAGGCUAAUAAUGUGAUCUUCCCUAUUACAUGAUUUGAUAGUAUGAUUUUAUGUUUUCUUUCCCCUAAAAAGAGAUGCAUUUUAAUUAUUCAAUUAU